UACGUAGGGUGCAAGCGUUAAUCGGAAUUACUGGGCGUAAAGCGUGCGCAGGCGGUUAUGCAAGACAGAUGUGAAAUCCCCGGGCUUAACCUGGGAACUGCAUUUGUGACUGCAUAGCUGGAGUACGGCAGAGGGGGAUGGAAUUCCGCGUGUAGCAGUGAAAUGCGUAGAUAUGCGGAGGAACACCGAUGGCGAAGGCAGUCCCCUGGGCCUGUAACUGACGCUCAUGCACGAAAGCGUGGGGAGCAAACAGG
rnacentral:rRNA from 1 species